GGUGUGUUGGCAGAAUAGUGCUAUCGACUUAGGAUCGAUCCAUGGAGAGUCCACACACUA
rnacentral:tRNA from 1 species